rnacentral:lncRNA from 1 species
GGGAAAGCCGGCUGGAGGGGUCUGGGCGGGGCUCAGGUCGGUGCUGGUGUUUAGCGGGGGCCCAACACACCUCGGUCUCCUCACCCACCUAAGCGGGGAGAGUGGCGCACAACGUGGCCUGACUCCAUCCUCUGGUAUCUCGUGCCUCAGUUUCCCAUCUGUAAAUGGAACACACGCGAUUUCAGCCGCCGUUCAACCUUUCUAAAAGCUUUCACAUCCAUUAUCUGACUGGUGUCUCAAACUGCUACUGAGGCUUCAGCUCUGAUCUGGACCAGUGCUCUCCAGGCCUACUGCACAGCUGUCAUACUGAACUUUCCUAUAUCCUACACCUGGUUGGGAUUCCCUGUGCCCUGGACCUUGUGUCUCAAACUUCUAGAUUGUGGAUUUACUCUGUCAUCUCUGUGCAGCACAUCUUUCUGUAGAUUCCUGAGAAAGGUUGCAAAGAAGCAAAUAUAUUUA